UACGAAGGGGGCUAGCGUUGCUCGGAAUCACUGGGCGUAAAGGGUGCGUAGGCGGGUCUUUAAGUCAGGGGUGAAAUCCUGGAGCUCAACUCCAGAACUGCCUUUGAUACUGAGGAUCUUGAGUUCGGGAGAGGUGAGUGGAACUGCGAGUGUAGAGGUGAAAUUCGUAGAUAUUCGCAAGAACACCGGUGGCGAAGGCGGCAUCCUGGACCGGUAUUGACGCUGAUGCGCGAAAGCCAGGGGAGCAAACGGG
rnacentral:rRNA from 1 species